ACAUGCCUACAACAUAGUGUUAAUGCACCGGAUCCCAUUAGAAAUCCACAGCUAAUCGUGCUCAGGCUAAAGUAGUACUGGGAUGGGUGACCAUCUGGGAAGUCCUAGUGUUUUACAUGCC
rnacentral:rRNA from 1 species